AGACGGGUGAGUAAUGCAUAGGAAUCUACCUAGUAGUAUAGGAUAGCCACUAGAAAUGGUGGGUAAUACUGUAUAAUCCCUGCGGGGGAAAGAUUUAUCGCUACAUGAUGAGCCUAUGUUAGAUUAGCUAGUUGGUAGGGUAAAGGCCUACCAAGGCGAUGAUCUAUAGCUGGUCUGAGAGGAUGAUCAGCCACACUGGAACUGAGAUACGGUCCAGACUCCUACGGGAGGCAGCAGUGGGGAAUAUUGGACAAUGGGCGCAAGCCUGAUCCAGCUAUGCCGCGUGAGUGAGGAAGGCCUUAGGGUUGUAAAACUCUUUCAGUAGGGAAGAUAAUGACGGUACCUA
rnacentral:rRNA from 1 species